rnacentral:rRNA from 1 species
GACGAACGCUGGCGGCGUGCCUAAUACAUGCAAGUAGAACGCUGAAGGAGGAGCUUGCUCUUCUGGAUGAGUUGCGAACGGGUGAGUAACGCGUAGGUAACCUGCCUGGUAGCGGGGGAUAACUAUUGGAAACGAUAGCUAAUACCGCAUAACAGUAGAUGUUGCAUGACAUUUACUUAAAAGGUGCAAUUGCAUCACUACCAGAUGGACCUACGUUGUAUUAGCUAGUUGGUGGGGUAACGGCUCACCAAGGCGACGAUACAUAGCCGACCUGAGAGGGUGAUCGGCCACACUGGGACUGAGACACGGCCCAGACUCCUACGGGAGGCAGCAGUAGGGAAUCUUCGGCAAUGGACGGAAGUCUGACCGAGCAACGCCGCGUGAGUGAAGAAGGUUUUCGGAUCGUAAAGCUCUGUUGUAAGAGAAGAACGAGUGUGAGAGUGGAAAGUUCACACUGUGACGGUAUCUUACCAGAAAGGGACGGCUAACUACGUG